AUGUGCGUCCCGAAGGAGAAGGGUGGUAUGGGCUUCCGGGACUUGCAUUGCUUUAAUUUGGCUCUUUUGGCAAAACAGUGUUGGAGGCUUUUGUGUGAACCGGAAUCAUUAUGUGCCAGAGUAUCGAAAGCAAAGUAUUUCCCCAAUGGUGACCUUCUGAACUGUACGUUGAAGAAGGGUAGUUCAUAUACCUGGCAGAGUCUCUGGAGUGGAAUUUAG
rnacentral:rRNA from 1 species